rnacentral:misc_RNA from 1 species
CCAUUUACAAGUUAUCCUACAAUUAGCAAAUUGAAAAGAAAAGAAGUGAUGGAGAAUCUAGCUAGAAUUAUCAAUGGAGACAUAACCAAGAUUUUUUAUGGUCAUGAGCGUAAUUGACUCCAAUUGAUGAACUUGAGCCUCUUAUCUACAAAGCUUAUCUCCUGUGAUAAAAUCUUACCCAAAACAACUUGGAGCCUACAAUCUAUUGUUAUAGAAGCUCAAUAAUCAAGGAAGACCCUACACAUGCACUAGUAUAAUUAUUGUUGAUCUAUCAUCACUUCUGGGUGCAGCCUCUUCUUGCCACUGAGAGGGACUCCAAAAAGCUUCACUGGUCUAUAAUUUGAUUCCUCAGUUAAAGUCAGUGAAGACUUACCCAAACCAAGAUUUUUAGAGCUUAUUUGCUGAUCUUGACAAGAACCCAAUUGUACAAUCUUAGGAGUUGUUGAACUAUAACCCCUUUGCUCAUAGGGCACUACUGGUACAGGCUUUGCAUGGCUUUGGAUGAAGUAGAUAAUGUCAUUGUAGAGGCUCUUCAUGUGGGAAAGUUCUGAUAAAAGCAUGUAGUUUUUCCUUCUCAGCCUCUGAUUAUCUUCAGAAAGUGCUCUUAGGAGAUCUGUGGUGGGUUUUGGAGAUAAUGGAAAUAUUGGAUGAUCAAUAAUAUUCCGGCCAAAACUUUCUUCUUGUUGGAGAUUUUGAUGACCUAGUACUGGUUGGUGCUGGUGCUGUGGUGUUUUUCUCCUGUGGAUCUCAGAUAACAAAUGCUUUGCUCCUUUUCUAAAGCACUCAUUUGCAAACUCCCAUCUGUCUGCAACUACUUUCUUAAAUCCAUAGGUGUUGAGCUGCCUAACAAAGCUUGAGAAGUUGUUGUGCUUGAAGUAA